AAGAGAAACAUGCCCUUCGGGGUAUAUCUCCCACCCUUUGUUUAUGAUACCUUAGUUGCUUUGGCAGGCCCGUCAUUUUGGCUGCCAGCCUAGGCUGGCCAGUGCCUGCCAGAGGACCUAAAAUACUCUUUAUAAAUAUGUUAGUCAGAAAACACAAUAAAUACAUUUUA
rnacentral:misc_RNA from 1 species